GUAAACAAAAAAUCUUUGUGUAGUGAUAUUUGACACAUUUCUAUGAUAAACAAAUGACUGAGCUGAACCAUUUGUGUUAAUUAAGAAAGUAGGGGAACACAGAAUAAAUGUGUAAAAACUAUGGAGCUAUUAAAUGUGUUCAAAGUAUUAAAUUUUCAAAGAACUUAUUGUGUUAAAAAUGGGAUUUUUUACCAUGAGGAGCCGCAUCGCAAAAGGAUACUCGGGGUUUGCUAAUUUACGGAAAAAUGAAUCACACUUCGUACCCCGAAAAUUUAACCACA
rnacentral:lncRNA from 1 species